rnacentral:rRNA from 1 species
UACGUAGGGAGCAAGCGUUGUCCGGAAUCAUUGGGCGUAAAGGGUGCGCAGGCGGUUCUGCAAGUCAGGCGUGAAAUCCCCGGGCUUAACCUGGGAAUGGCGCUUGAAACUACGGGACUGGAGUAUGGCAGAGGGAGGUGGAAUUCCACGUGUAGCGGUGAAAUGCGUAGAGAUGUGGAGGAACACCGAUGGCGAAGGCAGCCUCCUGGGCCAAUACUGACGCUCAUGCACGAAAGCGUGGGGAGCAAACAGG